rnacentral:rRNA from 1 species
GGCGGACGGGUGAGUAACACGUGGGAAUCUGCCCUUUGGUUUUCGGGAUAACCGCGGGAAACUGCGGCUAAUACCGAAUGCCCUCGCGAGAGGAAAGAUUUAUCGCCAGAGGAGGAGCCCGCGUCCGAUUAGGUAGUUGGUGGGGUAAAGGCCUACCAAGCCGACGAUCGGUGGCUGGUCUGAGAGGAUGAUCAGCCACACUGGGACUGAGAUACGGCCCAGACUCCUACGGGAGGCAGCAGUGGGGAAUAUUGGACAAUGGGGGCAACCCUGAUCCAGCAAUGCCGCGUGAGUGAUGAAGGCCUUAGGGUUGUAAAGCUCUUUUGCCAGGGAAGAUGAUGACUGUACCUGGAGAAUAAGCCCCGGCUAACUUCGUGCCAGCAGCCGCGGUAAUACGAAGGGGGCUAGCGUUGUUCGGAAUUACUGGGCGUAAAGGGCGCGUAGGCGGCAUUUAAGUUAGGUGUGAAAGUCCUGGGCUCAACCUGGGGACUGCACUUAAUACUGAGUGGCUUGAAUUCGGGAGAGGAUAGCGGAAUUCCCAGUGUAAGGUGAAAUUCGUAGAUCUUGGGAAGAACACCGGUGGCGAAGGCGGCUAUCUGG